AUAUUACUUAUUUCUAACAGUUCGAGAAACAGUUGUGGUCGUCAGUAUUUGUGAACUUUUUGAAGCGUGCGUGGUUUUGUUUACUUUGUGAAAACGCGUGUGGAUUUUUUUUGAAGAGAACAGAAAAAAGUGGCCAAGGAUCCUGCUGUUCCUAGGUGAACCGUCAACAGCCACCAGCUCAUAAGAGUGCGCAACUAAAUUGGAAAACAGAACCAGCAUUUCCCGUAUUUGACCACCGCAGAUCACUGUCUUCGUCAAACCCGCAGUGAUAAAACCUCUGAAAUAGGUUCCACAGACUGUUCCAGAUGAACGGAUUUGGCUGUAAUCGUGAUGGUACGCAAGAGAUACAUAGAAGCUAGACGUUGGCGACGGCAGAGAUGGGGUUGUUUGAUUUAAAUCCUGUGCUUCUACCAUUGCAUUACUCCCUGUAAAGCGAACCAAAUGAUUAAGAAGCAAACAGAGUAAAGAAUGUGAAAUUGUCGAAAAUGCCACAUAAUAGUCCUUCGGAUUUUGCUGCUUCUAGCUCUGUGCUAAUACUAUUCCUAAAAGUGCUGAACUAUUAUAGUAUAAUACUAUUACUAAAUUUAAGUUUAUUAGAUAAUGUGAUAAGUUUAAAAUGACAAAGAAAAAUAUAAAAAAUAUGUUUAUCUAGAUUUUAUUUCUUUAUAGUAUCAACACAACACAACGGUGAGCAACGCACC